UCAGCCGGAUGACUGGGUCGAGCUUUGAUGGCUAGAUUAAAAUAAAGAAAGGUCAUUCAGAAGCCAAGUUCCACACAGGACUAGACUUUGUAAUUUUAAUCUAAAUCCACCCAAAAGUCGAGAGGUUAACGCAGGCCACAGCCCUGCAGGCAAAAACACAGACGGGAAAUGUAUUCAUUAUCAUGCACCAGAGGUUGAUUGUUACAUCAUACCUCAGGCAAGCUGAGCAAACGGGUCAGCUGCACAGCUGCUCUCGCCCGGCCCGGUCUAAAGACCUGAUGGAAAACCAUGUGUUGAUGGAUGUGGAGAGACACAUUUUCUGCAUUCAGUCAAGUGUGGUGGAGCCCUGUUCUGUCUAACCCGCUCUCUCCCCCACCCUCACCCACUCUGAAAUCUUCUGACAGCACGGUACGGUGGGUCGAGCCUCGCACGAGUAUUUUGUAGAAAGCGACGUCUCUGUUAACCGAGGAGAGGAUUAGAAUGAAAGGUCAGAUUAGGGAGAUAAUCUGUCAGUUGAGGCUGCACCAGUGAGUCACUGACAAAUGUUUUAGGGCAGGGAGCCCACAAGACUGACUCAUGUUCUGCAUCACAUGAUCCUUAUCUAUGUCAUAAUCUUUGACCGUUCACGCAACAGACGUGUAAGAGUAGCUAGAAAGUUUGUUUUUCCCACUUUACAUUGUCCGACAACUCGUGACACGGAGCAUGCCGUUUCACGAGUCACAUGAAUAUCUGCCUUGUUUAACAACAUCCUUCCUCUCUUGAGCCUUGCACUCACUAACUUUGUUUUCCUCGCUUCGACAAUUUGGCUGCCAGUUGUUAACCUUGCAGCAAAUUAGAUCUAACUGGUGGGAAGUGGCCACGGUUCUCUGGACGUCUCGCACAGGAACAGGGGCAUCGCAAGAAAAUAGCUCCCAAGCGAGGAGGAGAGCAGGAGCUGUCUCACACCAGAACCUUUCCUCUGCUGAAGUCCAGAAUGGCCUCGUGUAUCUGGUGCAUCGUCUGGCUGCUGAUUCUGCUGUGCUUUGGCUGGCCACUCAGCAUCACCUUAGGUGGUCUCUAUGGCCUCAUUACCCCGCUCACCACCUGCCUGGGCCUGGACCGGCUCUCUGAUCUGCUUCUGGAAGGAGCCAACCUGGGCCGAACCUGUGCCAAUAACAUGAAACAUGGCAAGCCGCUGUGUUAACAUCUGCCCCGAGUGACCGGGAGCGAGCGACGCACGACGGCCAAAGGCAAGAUGGGUUCUUUUUCUACACAGGAAAUGCUUCACUUUGUGGAGAACUGUUCACGUCUGUUAGUUUGUUUGUGUGGAAACCUCCUGAGGUCGUUGGCAAUCACUGAGAAUUUAUGUAACAUAAAGGUCUGGAAAAUGGAUUCCUCUCUUCUGUUAACAUGUAAUUAACCGUGGAUUUCACAUUUUUUAUGGCUUUGUUUGGAGGGAAAUAGGUUCGCGUCAUUUGCGAUGACCCUGCGCGGAGAAGAUAAGAACGGAAAUCGCAGUUUAACAAUGAAAAUGCUUAGACUUGUAAAUGACUGUAUGGGAACUUAUAAUGCGAUUAAACCUGCUUUGAACUUGC